rnacentral:rRNA from 1 species
GCCUAACACAUGCAAGUCGAACGGGAAAGUGAUCUUCGGAUCGCGAGUAGAGUGGCGCACGGGUGAGUAACACGUGGAUAACCUGCCCUAUGAUCUGGGAUAACACUUCGAAAGGGGUGCUAAUACCGGAUAAGCCCACGAUUUCUUAGGAAUUUGUGGGAAAAGAUUUAUCGUCAUAGGAUGGGUCCGCGGUCCAUUAGGUAGUUGGUGGGGUAAUGGCCUACCAAGCCUGCGAUGGAUAGCUGGUCUGAGAGAAUGAUCGGCCACACUGGGACUGAGACACGGCCCAGACUCCUACGGGAGGCAGCAGUAGGGAAUAUUGCGCAAUGGACGAAAGUCUGACGCAGCAAUACCGCGUGAGUGA